rnacentral:rRNA from 1 species
CCUACGGGUGGCAGCAGUGAGGAAUAUUGGUCAAUGGCCGGAAGGCUGAACCAGCCAAGUCGCGUGAGGGAAUAAGGCCCUAUGGGUCGUAAACCUCUUUUGGCAGGGAGAAAAGGCGUCCAAGAGUGGACGAAAGGAGAGUACCUGAAGAAAAAGCAUUGGCUAACUCCGUGCCAGAAGCCGCGGUAAUACGGCGGAUGCGAGCGUUAUGCGGAUUUAUUGGGUUUAAAGGGCGCGUAGGCGGAGUGUCAAGUCAGCGGUAAGAUUUCGGGGCUCAACCCCGUCGUGACGUUGAAACUGACACCCUUGAGUGAGUGAGAAGUAAGCGGAAUGCGUGGUGUAGCGGUGAAAUGCAUAGAUAUCACGCAGAACGCCGAUUGCGAAGGCAGCUUACCGGCGCUCAACUGACGCUGAGGCACGAAAGUGCGUGUAUCGAACAGGAUUAGAUACCCUAGUAGUC